UACGUAGGGGGCAAGCGUUGUCCGGAAUCAUUGGGCGUAAAGAGCGUGUAGGCGGCUCGGUAAGUCCGCUGUGAAAGUCGGGGGCUCAACCCUCGGAUGCCGGUGGAUACUGUCGGGCUCGAGUACGGAAGAGGAGAGUGGAAUUCCUGGUGUAGCGGUGAAAUGCGCAGAUAUCGGGAAGAACACCCGUGGCGAAGGCGGUUCUCUGGGACGGUACUGACGCUGAGACGCGAAAGCGUGGGGAGCGAACAGG
rnacentral:rRNA from 1 species